UGGGGUGUCAUCUAACGGUAGGAUAUCUGACUCUGACUCAGCUCAUCGCGGUUCGAAUCCGUGCACCCCAACCA
rnacentral:tRNA from 1 species